rnacentral:rRNA from 1 species
GAUGAACGCUGGCGGCGUGCUUAACACAUGCAAGUCGAACGAUGAACCAGGUGCUUGCACUUGGGGAUUAGUGGCGAACGGGUGAGUAACACGUGAGCAACCUGCCCCUCACUCUGGGAUAAGCGCUGGAAACGGCGUCUAAUACUGGAUACGAGUCGCAACCGCAUGGUUAGUGACUGGAAAGAUUUUUUGGUGGGGGAUGGGCUCGCGGCCUAUCAGCUUGUUGGUGAGGUAAUGGCUCACCAAGGCGUCGACGGGUAGCCGGCCUGAGAGGGUGACCGGCCACACUGGGACUGAGACACGGCCCAGACUCCUACGGGAGGCAGCAGUGGGGAAUAUUGCACAAUGGGCGGAAGCCUGAUGCAGCAACGCCGCGUGAGGGAUGACGGCCUUCGGGUUGUAAACCUCUUUUAGCAGGGAAGAAGCGAAAGUGACGGUACCUGCAGAAAAAG